GGAAAGGCGUUAGACUAGAUGGAGCUGACCCACUUGCAAUCAUGCAUGAAAAGAAUCCAUAAGUACUUUACGAGAGGACAAAGAGUAAUUGUGGUGUCUGGAAGGGAAAUGUGGCACUGAGUUAAAAAUGUAGCUUAAAGAAAUCAAGCAGAGUAAUUUUGCUGUUUCAGGUUUUUCCUUAGGGCUGAAUAGUGAUGGACAGAGUUUGAAUUUAAUGCGGUGUCAGGAACAACAACUGGAAAUGCCAGCUACAGAAGAAAGAGAGACAAGUUCUCCCACAUCUUAGAAUGUCCUGUGAUAGCAGAAGAAGUGAUAAAAAAACAAGAGACACAUGAGAAACUAAGCCAGUGGCUUGAAAGGAAGAUGCCAGGAGUGAGUUGACAAAGACUUUCUGCAUACCCUGCUGCUCUGCCU